rnacentral:rRNA from 1 species
AUCCACCUGGGGAGUACGGUCGCAAGAUUGAAACUCAAAGGAAUUGACGGGGGCCCGCACAAGCGGUGGAACAUGUGGUUUAAUUCGAUGAUACGCGAGGAACCUUACCUGGGCUUAAAUACAGAUUGGCGUUUCGGGAAACCGGAUUCCCUUCGGGGCGAUUUGCAAGGUGCUGCAUGGUUGUCGUCAGCUCGUGCCGUGAGGUGUCGGGUUAAGUCCCAUAACGAGCGCAACCCCUAUCGUUAGUUGCCAGCGGAUCAUGCCGGGGACUCUAACGAAACUGCCGGUGUAAACCGAGAGGAAGGUGGGGAUGACGUCAAAUCGGCACGGCCCUUAUGUCCAGGGCUACACACGUGUUACAAUGGUCGGUACAGAGGGCAGCUACCUGGUGACAGGAUGCUAAUCUCGAAAGCCGGUCUUAGUUCGGAUCGAAGUCUGCAACUCGACUUCGUGAAGCUGGAAUCGCUAGUAAUCGCGCAUCAGCAACGGCGCGGUGAAUACGUUCCCGGGCCUUGUACACGCCGCCCGUCAAGCCAUGGAAGCUGGGGGUACCUGAAGUCUGUAACCGCAAGGAGCGGCCUAGGGUAAAACUAGUGACUGGGGCUAAGUCGUAACAAGGUAGCCG